rnacentral:rRNA from 1 species
GGGCAUAAAAGUACCUGACAAGAAGACCCUUUGGAGCUUAAGGUACAAAACUCAACCUCGUUAAACAACUCUAUAACAAGCAGCUUAGACCUUGUGGAUACUGAGACCAUACCUUCGGUUGGGGCGACCACGGAGGAAAAUAAAGCCUCCUUGUGGACUAGGGCCAACCCCCUAAAACUAAGAGAGACAUCUCUUAGCAACAGAACAUCUGACCAUACAUGAUCCGGCUAACCCAGCCGAUCAACGAACCAAGUUACCCUAGGGAUAACAGCGCAAUCCCCUCCCAGAGUCCAUAUCGACGAGGGGGUUUACGACCUCGAUGUUGGAUCAGGACAUCCUAAUGGUGCAGCCGCUAUUAAGGGUUCGUUUGUUCAACGAUUAAAGUCCUACGUGAUCUGAUUUCAGACCGGAGGAGC